GCUCUGUGGUGUCUCUGUACACUCUGGUUUUGGCCUUGUUCACAAAAUACCCAAAAGAAUCGACCUCUAACGUGCAAUACAGAUUUGAACUUUGCUUGAAUCCUGUGGCAGAGUGGACAAUGACAUUCAGGAAUCCAUAGAGACCUGGAGAUUCAUCAUCUUCCUUAUUGAUAGUGAGGGGAAUGUUGUGGACUGUCUGGAGUUUCACACAGGAGUUUGUCAGCAUCUGGAGCUCCACCGAUGUGAGUGAGAAGCUUUUAAAGCAUUUCUUCUGCUGCUCCCGGAUGUUCUCCCUCCACUCUGCCCUUUCAUAGUCCGAUGAAAUGAGGAACGUGUAACUCUUGCCAUUGC
rnacentral:lncRNA from 1 species